UACGAAGGGGGCUAGCGUUGCUCGGAAUUACUGGGCGUAAAGCGUGCGCAGGCGGCUUUGCAAGACAGAUGUGAAAUCCCCGGGCUCAACCUGGGAACUGCAUUUGUGACUGCAAGGCUAGAGUACGGCAGAGGGGGAUGGAAUUCCGCGUGUAGCAGUGAAAUGCGUAGAUAUGCGGAGGAACACCAAUGGCGAAGGCAAUCCCCUGGGCCUGUACUGACGCUCAUGCACGAAAGCGUGGGGAGCAAACAGG
rnacentral:rRNA from 1 species